GACCUCGUAGCUCAGUUGGCCAUAGCAUUGGCUGUACGGAACCCUCUUUCCUGAUUGCGCGGGUUCAAAUCCCACCGAGGUCG
rnacentral:tRNA from 1 species